UGGAUGGAUUCAAAAAGUGGAUCCCUUUGGAUCUUAUUGAGAGAGAAAAAGAGAAAAAGGGGAAAGAAAAGUGGAGAAAAAGAACAAAAAGAGCAAGAGAAGGCACCAUUCAACUUGAUAAUCAUAUCCACAUU
ensembl:ncRNA C48A7.7 ncRNA